AUGGAAGCUGUGUUUAUACCUUCUGCCAGCCCUCUGAGUGUAUCUUGUGGAUCUAUUCUCAUGGAGUUGGUUGAGCUAUCCAGCACAUCACUGGCUGAAGCAAUGUUCAUGAAACUCGGUCUCCCUAAACCAGUGUACUUUGUGCAUCAUCUUCCACAAGAUCGAUUUAGAACAGAGAUUCAGUUUCACCGCACAAAAGCACGGUACCAUGCUUCAGCGCACCGGACAAAAUUAUCAAGCCGUAUAUGUCGCAAUGGGGUAGCAUCAAUGAAUCAUGCAGCCGAGAAGGCCAUCGAAUACAUGCAGAACAAAGAGGGUAAGGUGCUUGUGGACUAUAACUAUUAUCAGCUAGAGCAAAUGAAGAUGGCACACACAAGAGUAUCAGCCAGGUUGCUAGAACAGUCAGAUGAAAUCAACCAGCACAGCAAAACCAUCAAGCAGAUAACUAAAGAAGCAUGCAACUAUGUGGAGCAAGUGCGCAAUGCAUCAAACAAAAUCCAAGACCUUGCUGCCGUCUUCUUUGACCCUGCUACCUCAAUGUGUGUUUCUAAUAUGAAGCAAGCUAUCAUGGAGAUUCACAGUUCAAUUGUCGCACUUCAAAGCUCUACAACUACGACAUCAAAGUUCCUAGGGGAAAAAGGCAUGUACUCAGAUGAUGAAGUGCCUGAACAGAGCUACAAUGGUCACUCAGAUGAAGAUUCAGCCGAUGAUAUUCAUCACCACAUGGAUGAUGACUGUGCCCCAUCCCCAUGA
rnacentral:rRNA from 1 species